CGCGCGCUGCCGCGACGGCGGGCUGCUCGCGCUGCUGCCGCGCGGCCUCGGCGUCCAGGCGUGGGCGCGGCUGUUCCACGGCGCGCACGAC
rnacentral:tRNA from 1 species